GUAGGGAAUCUUCCGCAAUGGACGAAAGUCUGACGGAGCAACGCCGCGUGAGUGAUGAAGGUUUUCGGAUCGUAAAGCUCUGUUGUUAGGGAAGAACAAGUACAAGAGUAACUGCUUGUACCUUGACGGUACCUAACCAGAAAGCCACGGCUAACUACGUGCCAGCAGCCGCGGUAAUACGUAGGUGGCAAGCGUUGUCCGGAAUUAUUGGGCGUAAAGCGCGCGCAGGCGGUCCUUUAAGUCUGAUGUGAAAGCCCACGGCUCAACCGUGGAGGGUCAUUGGAAACUGGGGGACUUGAGUGCAGAAGAGAAGAGUGGAAUUCCACGUGUAGCGGUGAAAUGCGUAGAGAUGUGGAGGAACACCAGUGGCGAAGGCGACUCUUUGGUCUGUAACUGACGCUGAGGCGCGAAAGCGUGGGGAGCAAACAGG
rnacentral:rRNA from 1 species